GCAAUGGGAUGGUCAAGCAUGCGAGUCAUUGUAGCAAUACAAGGCAGACGGCUCAGUAACGCGUAGUCAACCUAACCUAUGGACGGGAAUAAUCUCGGGAAACUGAGAAUAAUGCCCGAUAGAACACUAUAUCUGGAAUGGUUUGUGUUCCAAAUGAUUUAUCGCCAUAGGAUGGGACUGCGGCCUAUCAGUUUGUUGGUGAGGUAAUGGCCCACCAAGACUAUUACAGGUACGGGCUCUGAGAGGAGUAGCCCGGAGAUGGGUACUGAGACACGGACCCAGGCCCUAUGGGGCGCAGCAGGCGAGAAAACUUUGCAAUGUGCGAAAGCACGACAAGGUUAAUCCGAGUGGUUCCUGCUAAAGGAACCUUUUGUCGGUCCUAGAAACACCGAUGAAUAAGGGGUGGGCAAGUUCUGGUGUCAGCCGCCGCGGUAAAACCAGCACCUCAAGUGGUCAGGAUGAUUAUUGGGCCUAAAGCAUCCGUAGCCGGCUCUGUAAGUUUUCGGUUAAAUCCAUGCGCUCAACGUAUGGGCUGCCGGGAAUACUGCAAAGCUAGGGAGUGGGAGAGGUAGACGGUACUCGGUAGGAAGGGGUAAAAUCCUUUGAUCUAUUGAUGACCACCUGUGGCGAAGGCGGUCUACCAGAACACGUCCGACGGUGAGGGAUGAAAGCUGGGGGAGCAAACCGGAUUAGAUACCCGGGUAGUCCCAGCUGUAAACUAUGCAAACUCAGUGAUGCAUUGGCUUGAUGCCAAUGCAGUGCUGCAGGGAAGCCGUUAAGUUUGCCGCCUGGGGAAGUACGUACGCAAGUAUGAAACUUAAAGGAAUUGGCGGGGGAGCACCACAAGGGGUGAAGCCUGCGGUUCAAUUGGAGUCAACGCCGGA
rnacentral:rRNA from 1 species